rnacentral:miRNA from 1 species
CGCGUGAUGUAGAGGGUGACG